GAUGAACGCUGACGGCGUGCCUAAUACAUGCAAGUCGAGCGAACGGACGAGAAGCUUGCUUCUCUGAUGUUAGCGGCGGACGGGUGAGUAACACGUGGAUAACCUACCUAUAAGACUGGGAUAACUUCGGGAAACCGGAGCUAAUACCGGAUAAUAUUUUGAACCGCAUGGUUCAAAAGUGAAAGACGGUCUUGCUGUCACUUAUAGAUGGAUCCGCGCUGCAUUAGCUAGUUGGUAAGGUAACGGCUUACCAAGGCAACGAUGCAUAGCCGACCUGAGAGGGUGAUCGGCCACACUGGAACUGAGACACGGUCCAGACUCCUACGGGAGGCAGCGGUAGGGAAUCUUCCGCAAUGGGCGAAAGCCUGACGGAGCAACGCCGCGUGAGUGAUGAAGGUCUUCGGAUCGUAAAACUCUGUUAUUAGGGAAGAACAUAUGUGUAAGUAACUGUGCACAUCUUGACGGUACCUAAUCAGAAAGCCACGGCUAACUACGUG
rnacentral:rRNA from 1 species